rnacentral:tRNA from 2 species
GGCGCUAUCGUCUAAUGGUCAGGACAACAGAUUUUCAAUCUGUCAAUCCGGGUUCGAUUCCCGGUAGCGCUACCA